rnacentral:lncRNA from 1 species
GUGCACUCGGACCUUCCGCGCGCCAGACCCCGCCCCUCGGAGGCCCCGCCCAGGGCGCGCAGCCAGGGGUUUCCAUGGUGAUGGUAAACAAGCCUCAACUGCCUCAGCUACAACUGCCAAGUUCCCCGCGUUCCACCCUCCUCUAGGUGCUCAGAGGGACGAUCGAGGUGCCGGAUGUGAAGAGCGGGAGCGUGGAGACUCGGAGCCCGAGCCACAAAAAGCUGCACCCAAGCUUGUUUGAC